CCUACGGGGGGGCAGCAGUGGGGAAUAUUGCACAAUGGGGGGAACCCUGAUGCAGCGACGCCGCGUGGGCGAUGGAGUAUUUCGGUAUGUAAAGCCCUAUCGGCAGGGAAGAAGCUGACAGUACCUGACUAAGAAGCCCCGGCUAACUACGUGCCAGCAGCCGCGGUAAUACGUAGGGGGCAAGCGUUAUCCGGAUUCACUGGGCGUAAAGGGAGCGCAGGCGGCACGGCAAGCCUGGUGUGAAAACCCGGGGCCCAACCCCGGGAGUGCAUUGGAAACUGUUGAACUGGAGUACAGGAGAGGUA
rnacentral:rRNA from 1 species